UGGUUGGACGAGAAAUCAGCUUUCUUUAAUAUAUACUUAAAACUUAAUUUUUAAGUCAAAAAGCUUAAAUUUUAUUAAGGGACGAGAAGACCCUAUAGAACUUUAUUAAUUUAUUGGACCACAUAAUUUUUUUAUUUACUUUUGUGGUCCACAUCUUUUAAUUGUGUUGGGGGGACAUAGAAAUUUAAUUAACUUUCUUUUUUUAUAUUCAUUGAUUAGUGUAUUUUUAGAUCCAGGUUUAUCUUGAUUAUAAGUUUAAGUUACCUUAGGGAUAACAGCGUAAUUCUUUUGGAGAGUUCUAAUCGAUGAAAGAGUUUGCGACCUCGAUGUUGGAUUAAAAUUAGUAUUGGGAGUAGAAGAUCAAUUACUAGGUCUGUUCGACCUUUAAAUUUUUACA
rnacentral:rRNA from 1 species